rnacentral:piRNA from 1 species
UAAAAAAAAUGAGCUUAUAUGGAGAUGGUA